CGCGACAGACGCAUCCGUGCGCCGCGAGUGCAAAAUCAUAAUGCCUGAGUGUUCGUGUAUGCGCGUUACUAUUUAUACUCUAACAAUUUUGUGAUGAGGGUAAUGAGCAAAAGUGCCGUGAGCCGCGCCAAGGUAUGUUUUUUCACGUGCACCCUCCUUCUAAAUUGUUAUAGAAUUGUGUUCAGAUUUUGAUAGUGAUUUAAUUUGUAAAUUAUAGCGUUUUUUGAUACCAAAUUGUAAUAGUCUUGUAGCGGUAACCUUAACCUACAUAAUUUUGUAUAAUAAACCUAAUAGUUCUGCCGUUUAAGGCCUGAUUUACCUAUGUAAACAUUUCUCGAUAGUAAAAAUCCUAGACUUUCAUUAGUGAAAUAGUGUUUAACUGAAAGCCUAGGUUUCAUUGUAUACAAAAUAACUUAAUUUAUAGAAAUAUUGUUAAUAGUUUAAGUUAUAGAGCAAUAAAUAAUGUCUGUGUUUUGACUUUCAUUUCACAUGCAAAUUAACAAUACUAGGGCUUAGGUCACAUUGUUAGGAUUACUAUCGCCAGAUAGCCCAUGAAGUGCCCUAACACACACUGCCUUUCGUAUCGAGAUACCCCCCAUAGUUUGUUUUUUAUCUCGAGAUAAUCUUCACAUAAGGGCCGAUUUCACAUAGUUUUUAUAGUUAUUCGGUUAUAGUAUUUCAGCCCUGAAGGUAUGCAGGGUGUGUAUAGUAUAGUUCAGUAGCGCACUUCAUGGGGCGUCUGACGCUAGGUGUCCUGUAAUGAUAUCAUGUACCAAUUGUUUGUAAUACUGCUGUUAAAUUGAAAGGUCAAUAAAACUGAGGUUGGUCGGAGGGACGAGAAAUCGAGGUGCUCGUCACGGUAAAGUUUCGAGCUCAUUCGGUGCGCAAGCGCCGCCGUACAAUCGUAGUCAUCGGUAUAGAUUUUUGAUAGUGUAACAAGUAAAUAGUGAAAAGUAAAUAGUGUAAUUGUAGUAUGGUAAGUGCGUCGAAGCUCGUCCCUUCAAGACUCCUGAAAAAUAUAUGAAGACUUAUUAUUUCACCGGCAUCCCUGAACCUAUAGUAGCAGAGAGUCUAAAACCCGUCUAAACGUAUUCUUGUUUCUGAAAUUCCUGUUUCUCGCCACAUCGUAAAUACAGUCCACUCGCCCAGACGUCCAAGAACCAGCGACCGACGGGGCGUCAACGUCUCGAAGCCACCCCAUAGUACCUGCUUCUGAGCUACGUCCGUCCCGCACAUCUGUUUGGUCCUUGCGACCCGGAUCGCCUGGGAAGCGAGCCAGGAACUUCAGCUGAAGAUACUGAAGAGUUGUAAACAGCAAGUAUGCCUGUGACAAGAUCGCAAGGAAGAGCCGCUCAAGCCUGGAUCAUCGACGCCAGACCGGGCCGCCGCACACCCCCCAUCGUGCACGACCAGCCGCCGUUCUCUCCAACCACCACCGAGGGGAGUGAGCAGCCCCCCCCUCCCCCGAGGGGGGGUGAAGACCUACCCUGCCCCGCAGCUGUGAGGGGAAGUGAGGCGCCGCCCUGCCCCCCUGCCCCGCGGGGGGGUGAAGACCGACCGCGCCCCCCUACCCCGCGAGGGGGUGAAGAGCGACCAGCGCCGUCGUCGUUGAUGCAGACUGAAGCGUCGUCAUCACUGAGGCCGCCUGGAACCAGUGCUGAAGAAUAUAGUUCAGGAGGAACACUGAAGGCUUGCGACAAGACAUACAACCGAGCUGUACCGUUGACUACCCGGGUUGACGCCCGUACCGAACUUAAGGCACCGUCGCACAGAUCGACGGCAUCAAAUAGAAAAAUUAGAAAUGCGCGUGAAGACUUAUUGAAGAUUAAGUUGGAGCUAGCGCAAAUAGCACUUCAGAGGGCCGAGGAAGAAUCGGACGACGAUUAUAUGGACGAUAGAAAUUCCAAUGAAGAGUACAUCCGUUCCUGGUUGGAGGAAGCUCCGGAACCAGACCCGCAGGACGCCGCCGCUGAGGGAGGACAUAGACCACCAGAUACCCUGGACCUGCCCGAGCCCCCCCCCUCCGCGGUUAUAGUGAAUCCGGUCCUGCGUGGAAUAAGUACUGCUCCUGGAAGAGACGCCGCCGCCGAGGGAGGACAUAGACUGCCGGGUACCCUGGACAAACCAGAGCCCCCCCCCUCGAAGACCAUCGAUACUGAAGCCCUUUCAUCAAUGAAGAAACCAGUUGAAGAUACCGCAGGGGGUGAAGGGCUCCGUCCGUUUAUCACGGAACUCACCUCCGCCAUCGCAUCGCUAGCCGGCAAUAGAAGCGAAGAGAAACCGGUGUACCACAACCCUGCUGCAUCGAAAGUCAUCAUGACGCUGCCGAACUUUAGUGGAUUGCAUACAGAAUGGCUAUCGUUCCGCGCCAUCUAUGAGACAACGCGACCAUAUUUCAACGAUGUGGAAAAUACGGCGAGGCUGAGAAGAAGCCUGCGAGGAAGAGCGCUUGACACAGUUAGUUCCGAGCUUAUCGGCAACGCCAGGCCAGAUGACAUCAUGAAGGAGUUGGAGCUUCAGUUUGGCCGCCCCGACUCAAUAGCGCAAGCGGAGACAGACAGACUGCGCGGGCUGCCACGCUGCGGAGAAGCACCGAAGGACAUCUGCACUUUCGCCAGCCGUGUACGAAGUGGCAUCGUCACACUGCGAGCGCUGAAAAAGGAACACUACCUCAUGAACGCCGAGCUUAUGCGCAUCCUCACAGAGAAGCUGCCGAACUCGCUACGUGUACAGUGGUACAAGACAUAUACUGAGAAGUACCAGUCAACGCCGGACUUGGGUCUCUUCAGCGACUUCAUCACCGAACAAGCUCGCUACUGCAGCGCGUUUGCACCGCCUGAAAACAUCAGUGAAGCUACUGGACUUAGACGUGUGACGCAGAGAACACACACCACUAUAGACAAGAAGCCCGCAUCGAAGUGCCGCAUCUGCGAGAUGGAUGGACACCGAUCGCUAGACUGCCACAAGUUCGUGAAGGCUUCUGCGGACAAGAAGUGGGAACUUGCCAAGCAGCACAACCUGUGCUUCCGCUGCCUGCGCCAUCGUCAGCACGGACACAGAUGUCAGAAGAAGAGAUGUGGAAUCGAGGGCUGCACAGCAUCACACCAUCAUCUGCUUCACUACGAGAAGAAGGCGAGCACUACUGAAGUCGCACAAGAAGCGCAAGAAAUAGUCGCAAGUUCACGCAACCACACAAAUCAAGCGUUCCUGAAAAUCGUUCCGGUGCAACUGUCCGGACCGGCGGGAGAAGUGCGCACCUACGCACUGCUGGAUGACGGCUCAACCGUGUCACUGAUUGACGAAGAGCUAGCAGACAUGAUCGGUGCAGAGGGACCAGUCGAGCCGAUGAAGAUAGGCGCCAUCAGCGACGUGACUAUCGACACGCCCACGUCGAAGAGAGUUGACCUCACGCUAUCGACCUGCCAUAGGAAGAAGAUACCCUUCAGGGCGCGCACCAUACCACGCCUGCACCUGUCGCCGCAGUCAAUCAGCAAGGAUGACAUCGCUGACUGCAAGCACCUGUUCGACCUGGCAGAUCAGCUGACGUACAACGCAGGGACGCCGAAGAUUAUCAUCGGGCAAGACAACUGGCAUCUGCUCCUAGCAACAGACAUCAGAAGAGGGCCCCAGCAUCAGCCGAUAGCAUCGUUAACUCCCUUGGGCUGGGUGCUGCACGGUGCCCGCACUAGGAUUCUGGGACAGCAGGUGCACUACGUCAAUCAGCUGAACAGCGCCGAGGAAAGCAUAGACAAGCAACUUCGUGAAUACUUCGCACUCGAGUCACUCAUCAUCAACCCGUGCCGACCAGCUUCUGACCCGGAGAAGAGAGCGGAAGAUAUAUUACAACGCAGUAUAGUACAGCUGGAAGAUGGACGUCUUCAGACUGCGUUGCUAUGGAGGAGUGACGAGAUACAGAUGCCGGACAGCUACGCGACUGCGAUGAAUAGACUCGUAUCAAUAGAGAAAAAACUCGACAAGAAUCCUGCUCUGAAGACUAGAUAUAUGGCGCAGAUGGAUUCACUAAUAGAAAAGGGCUACGCAGAGAAAGCGCCCCUUGAACGUACACCGGGAAGAACGUGGUACCUGCCGCACUUCGACGUCUUCAACCCUAUGAAACCGGAGAAGCUUCGUAUAGCUCACGACGCAGCAGCGAAGACAAGAGGGAUGUCACUGAACGACUACCUACUCACGGGUCCGGACUUGCUGCAGUCACUGCCCGGCGUGAUGAUGCGAUUCCGACGUCACCGCGUCGCCGUCUCCGGAGAUAUCACUGAAAUGUUUAUGCAGGUGAAAGUAAAGCCAGAAGACAGAGACGCUCUCCGAUAUCUGUGGCGAGGAGAGCGGCGGGAGGGGGCGCCGGAAGAGUACCGAAUGACGUCAAUAAUAUUCGGCGCAGCAAGUUCACCGUGUACAGCAAUAUUCGCUAAGAACUGGAAUGCUAAACGCCAUGCGAACGAACAUCCAGAAGCAGUAGAAGCAAUAGUCAAGAAUCAUUACAUGGACGAUUACCUGGAUAGCUUCAGAAGUACAGAAGAGGCGACGCGCACAAUCAAGAUAGUACAAGAAAUACAUAGUAAAGCGCGCUUCGACCUAACGAAAUGGGUAUCCAACAGCGAAGAAGUGCUGCGUGAAUUGAUACCGGGCCAAGAAACAACACAGAUUGUUAAUCUUGGAAAUAUAGAAAACACAGAGAAAGUACUCGGCGUGAUAUGGAAGCCACACACAGACGAGCUGAGCUUCAACUUAAAACUCGCGCGCCUACCUACUGGCCUGCUCGACAAGGAAACGCCCACCAAGAGAGAGGCGCUCAAGAUAGUUAUGUCGCUGUAUGACCCGCUGGGCCUCGCCUCACCUAUAACAAUCAGGGCGAAACAAAUACUGCAAGAAGCCUGGAGGCGGGGAGUCGACUGGGAUCAACCUCUCGAUGAAGAACUAUCAAGCCAGUGGAGGGCGUGGAUAAGUCAUCUCGAACAGCUGAAGAACGUAAACAUACCGCGCUGUUAUCCUGGGUACAGCGAGGCUACAGAAAUACAAGUACACGUGUUCACCGACGCCAGUGAGAAGGCCUACGCUACAGCGGUGUACUGGAGGUCAACGACCCGUGACAACAACGUGCACGUCAGCCUCGUCAUGGCGAAGGCGAAGGUGGCGCCGCUGAAGCUGCUGUCAAUACCGCGCCUCGAGCUGCAAGCCGCGGUGAUGGGUACGCGCGUCGCAGCCGCAGUGAUAUAUGAACACAACGUCAAGCCCGCCUCCGUGACCUACUGGAGUGACAGCAGAACCGUUCUGACAUGGAUAAGGAAAGGAGCCAGAUCGUACAAGCCAUUCGUUGCACAUCGCUUGGCCGCCAUAGAGGAAAAUAGCAGAGUCGAAGAGUGGCGCUGGGUGCCUACAAAAAGCAACAUAGCCGACGCCGCCACCCGCGACGUCCCGACGCACUUUCAUACCGACCACGAGUGGUACUGCGGCCCUAAGUUCCUCUACGACGACCCAUCGACAUGGCCGACCGAGUCACCAGCUGACAGUCAACCGACAGGCGAGGAAAAAACAGUCACGCUCAUACAAGCAGGCGCAACAAACCUCAUAGACGUCGUUCCCGACCCCGCUCGAUUUUCAAGGUGGGAGCGAUUGCUGCGCGCCACAGCCAGAGUACUACAGUUUAUAUCGUUAUGUAGAAAACAACAUACAGAAAAAACGUUCUACAAGCGAACAAGGAAAAACAAAGAAAACGAUCCUGAUUGGUCGAGAGCGAUGCGAGCGCCCCGCGCGCCCGCCGAAGCUGCGCGCGCCCAAAUAUACACACGCAAGUUUAUUGUAUUGGACGCGACGUAUAUUCAAAGAGCAGAGAAGCUGUUAGUUCAUGUGGUGCAACAGGAAGCCUUUAAACAAGAAAUAGCCAGUCUCGAGAGCAACAAAACAGUCGCAAGUAGUAGCCGGCUGUACCCGCUGCGCAUAGAACUAAACGACGGAGUUAUAGUACUGCGAAGCCGCAUAGCUGCUGUAGACAAAGUCGCUAAAAGCGUGAAGAGUCCACCUGUGUUAGACGGCGAUCACCGUAUUACACAGCUAUAUAUAGAUUGGACACACCGUAGCCUACAACACAGCGGCACCGAGCUCGUCGUGAAUGAGGUCAGACAGCACUACUGGAUUGUGCGCCUGCGCCCGACAGUCAAGCAAGUCAUCGCGCGCUGCCUGCACUGCCGCAUACGUCGCGCGCGCGCGCCGACGCCGGCAACCGGCGACCACCCGAAGACACGCCUAGCUCAUCACCGCAGGCCGUUCACAUACACUGGGCUUGAUUAUUUCGGCCCGCUGUCAGUCACCGUCGGUCGUCAGCAUCAUAAGCGAUACGUGGCGCUGUUCACGUGUCUCACAACAAGGGCAGUUCACCUCGAGAUCGCGCACAGCCUCAGCGCGGACUCAGCUGUGUUGGCGCUGCGCAGGUUCGCAGCGCGACGCGGCUGUCCCACCGAAAUCUACUCCGACAACGGCACCAACAUGCACGGUGCUGACCGUGAGCUGCGUGAGGCCUGCCAGGAGGAGGCCAGCCGACGCGGCAUCGCCUGGCGCUUCAUCACGCCUUCCGCGCCUUUCAUGGGAGGCGCCUGGGAGCGCUUAGUGCGGUGCGUUAAGACCGCGCUAGGCGCCACGCUGCACGAGCGCCACCCACGCGAGGAGGUCCUCGCGACGCUGCUCUGCGAGGUCGAGUACGUCGUCAACAGCCGGCCGCUCACCCACGUAUCUGUGAGCGGCGACGACGACGAGUCCAUCACACCGAACCAUUUCCUGCUGGGCGGCUCGGCACGCCUGCCGAGCCCCGGCACGUUCGACGAGCGAGACAUCGACAGCAAGAAGCACUGGCGGCGCGCCCAGAUACUCGCCGACAUGUUCUGGCGCCGCUGGGUGCGCGAGUACCUGCCCGAGCUCCAAUACCGGCGGGAGCCGCACGCCCGCGGCCCCGCGCUGCAGCUGGGCGACCCCGUCCUCAUCGCCGACGGCAACCUGCCUCGCAACACCUGGCCACGAGGCCGGGUCGUGGUCUACCCGGGCGCUGAUGGUGAAGUUCGGACCGCUGACGUGCGCACCGCAGGUGGCAUACUAAAGCGUCCGACGAAGAAACUCGUGCCGCUGCCUAAGUAACCGGGCAGUGCGGCAUCACCGGCGUCGCGGCGCCCUAGCGCUAUCACUGCGCCGUCGCUCACCGGAGAUGCGGCAUCGCUGCGAGCCAGAGCUACGAGUCAUCGCUACGGGUCAACGCUUCGAGUCCCUACAUCGUGUCAUCGUGUCAUCAUUCAUCGUUUAAUAGACUAAAUAGUGAUAGUGAAAGUGAAAGUGAUAGUGCCUACGCUCUGCCGCACGGCGGGAGAGAUGUUCGCGACAGACGCAUCCGUGCGCCGCGAGUGCAAAAUCAUAAUGCCUGAGUGUUCGUGUAUGCGCGUUACUAUUUAUACUCUAACAAUUUUGUGAUGAGGGUAAUGAGCAAAAGUGCCGUGAGCCGCGCCAAGGUAUGUUUUUUCACGUGCACCCUCCUUCUAAAUUGUUAUAGAAUUGUGUUCAGAUUUUGAUAGUGAUUUAAUUUGUAAAUUAUAGCGUUUUUUGAUACCAAAUUGUAAUAGUCUUGUAGCGGUAACCUUAACCUACAUAAUUUUGUAUAAUAAACCUAAUAGUUCUGCCGUUUAAGGCCUGAUUUACCUAUGUAAACAUUUCUCGAUAGUAAAAAUCCUAGACUUUCAUUAGUGAAAUAGUGUUUAACUGAAAGCCUAGGUUUCAUUGUAUACAAAAUAACUUAAUUUAUAGAAAUAUUGUUAAUAGUUUAAGUUAUAGAGCAAUAAAUAAUGUCUGUGUUUUGACUUUCAUUUCACAUGCAAAUUAACAAUACUAGGGCUUAGGUCACAUUGUUAGGAUUACUAUCGCCAGAUAGCCCAUGAAGUGCCCUAACACACACUGCCUUUCGUAUCGAGAUACCCCCCAUAGUUUGUUUUUUAUCUCGAGAUAAUCUUCACAUAAGGGCCGAUUUCACAUAGUUUUUAUAGUUAUUCGGUUAUAGUAUUUCAGCCCUGAAGGUAUGCAGGGUGUGUAUAGUAUAGUUCAGUAGCGCACUUCAUGGGGCGUCUGACGCUAGGUGUCCUGUAAUGAUAUCAUGUACCAAUUGUUUGUAAUACUGCUGUUAAAUUGAAAGGUCAAUAAAACUGAGGUUGGUCGGAGGGACGAGAAAUCGAGGUGCUCGUCACGGUAAAGUUUCGAGCUCAUUCGGUGCGCAAGCGCCGCCGUACAAUCGUAGUCAUCGGUAUAGAUUUUUGAUAGUGUAACAAGUAAAUAGUGAAAAGUAAAUAGUGUAAUUGUAGUAUGUCCACUCGCCCAGACGUCCAAGAACCAGCGACCGACGGGGCGUCAACGUCUCGAAGCCACCCCAUAGUACCUGCUUCUGAGCUACGUCCGUCCCGCACAUGC
rnacentral:misc_RNA from 1 species